rnacentral:rRNA from 1 species
ACAUUCGACCAUAGGAUGUUGAAAACAAGGCUUCCCGUUCGCUCAGCCCUAUUUAAGCAGCAUACCGGUAGAGUAGUAGCUACGUGGGAGACCAGUAGCGAAUGCCUGCUGUUGAAUGUU